rnacentral:rRNA from 1 species
GACGAACGCUGGCGGCGUGCUUAACACAUGCAAGUCGAACGGAAAGGCCCUGCUUUUGUGGGGUGCUCGCGUGGCGAACGGGUGAGUAACACGUGAGUCACCUGCCCUGGACUUUGGGAUAACUUCAGGAGACUGGGGCUACUACAGGAUAGGUGCUCCUGCUGCAUGGUGGGGGUUGGAAAGUUUCGGCGGUUGGGGAUCGACUUGGGGGUUUCUAGCUUGUUGGUGGGGUGCUGGCUAACCCGGCCUUCGGCGGGUAGGCGGCCUGGGAGUGUGACCGGCGACAUGGGGACUGAGGGACGGCCCAGAGGCCAACGGGAGGCAGCAGGGGGAAGUAUUGUACAACGGGCGGGAGCCUGAUGCAGCAACCCCGCGUGUGGGAUGACGGUCUUCUUGGUGGAAACCGCAUUCGCCUGAGACGUUGCUGGUGUGACGUUAAUGGGUAAAGAAGCACCGGCUAACUACGUG